rnacentral:rRNA from 1 species
AUUGAACGCUGGCGGCAUGCCUUACACAUGCAAGUCGAACGGCAGCACGGGAGCAAUCCUGGUGGCGAGUGGCGAACGGGUGAGUAAUAUAUCGGAACGUGCCCAGUAGUGGGGGAUAGCCCGGCGAAAGCCGGAUUAAUACCGCAUACGACCUGUGGGUGAAAGCGGGGGAUCGCAAGACCUCGCGCUAUUGGAGCGGCCGAUAUCAGAUUAGCUAGUUGGUGGGGUAAAGGCCUACCAAGGCGACGAUCUGUAGCUGGUCUGAGAGGACGACCAGCCACACUGGGACUGAGACACGGCCCAGACUCCUACGGGAGGCAGCAGUGGGGAAUUUUGGACAAUGGGCGCAAGCCUGAUCCAGCCAUGCCGCGUGUGGGAAGAAGGCCUUCGGGUUGUAACC